rnacentral:rRNA from 1 species
AGAGCGAACGCUGGCGGCAGGCCUAAUACAUGCAAGUCGAACGGAUCCUUCGGGAUUAGUGGCGGACGGGUGAGUAACACGUGGGAACGUGCCCUUUGGUUCGGAACAACUCAGGGAAACUUGAGCUAAUACCGGAUGUGCCCUUCGGGGGAAAGAUUUAUCGCCAUUGGAGCGGCCCGCGUCUGAUUAGCUAGUUGGUGGGGUAAAGGCCCACCAAGGCGACGAUCAGUAGCUGGUCUGAGAGGAUGAUCAGCCACAUUGGGACUGAGACACGGCCCAAACUCCUACGGGAGGCAGCAGUGGGGAAUAUUGGACAAUGGGCGCAAGCCUGAUCCAGCCAUGCCGCGUGAGUGAUGAAGGCCCUAGGGUUGUAAAGCUCUUUGUGCGGGAAGAUAAUGACGGUACCGCAAGAAUAAGCCCCGGCUAACUUCGUGCCAGCAGCCGC